ensembl:lncRNA
AUGCUCCGUGGGGCCAUGUCAUGCCGCGUGGGCAGUGCCACCCAGCCCCGAGGCAGGAUCUGCACCCAGCCACCUCGGAGGGCAAGAAGCUGGCCCCGGGGGGGAGGGAGGAGCGGUGCUGCCCUCCGCGGGGAGGGGGGCCGAGCCUGCGGGCUAAAAUGGCCACGCUCGGCUGCAGGCGUGGGCUCUGCCAUGCGGCAAGGGUUAACCCCAGCAGGCAUGCUGGGAAAGGGGCAGGCAGAACUGCACCGGGAGAACCGGGGCGGCGGGCGGCGGGCAGCGCUCCCCGGCCCGCCCCGGCGCUGGGGGGAGCGGCGAGGAAAGCUGGAAAAUGCCCUUUGUCCGCUGCCCACUGCGCGCAUUGGGUCCGGCCGUGACACUAUCCUUCCUCCGCCUGUGUCCUUCUGGCACAUGAAGUCACCGGCAACAGAUAAAACAGGGACAUUCAUCGUGGGUUCUGCAGAGAAGACGAUGUGGCGCUUAGACACCAGAGGUGCCUCAGCUCUCCCCGGCUGGCUGGUGGAAUGAGAUGUCUUAUCUUGAGUUUAACGGCUCAACCUGACCCUGAGCCAUUUUUAACCAGGGGUGGGAAGAGCCCUCCCUGGUCGUCCCUCUUCGCUUUGAAAAAUUCUUCAGUCACUGCACGGUAUCUGCUUUCCUGAUGGUUUUAAUUUCUGUACCCCUGCAACCUGAAGCAGACCCACUUUCUCAGUGUUUGAUGCUCUGCUUCUUGAAGAUGCUUUAACUCUCGGGACUCAGAAAUAACUCCUAGCAAACGCAGCGCAGAGAGACCCAACAAGAAGACAUCUAAUCUAAUGUAUCACAUUUCCAUAUUUUGUGCUGCAAGCAGCAAUUUGUGGUUCAGCAGCAACGGCUGAGUAGAGAAGAGCAUUAUCACAGAAAUUCCUUCCAUCUCUCGCCUGAGUAUGUGACAAAUAACUCUUGGCCGUGGCAUUGUCUUUUCUGGUUUCGGACUAAGAGGCUUAACUCUUUUUUUCUUUCCCCGGAAAGGCAAUUUUACCUUUGCCUUGUGCACCCUCCAUUCCCCGUAACUGAGAAUUUGCUGCCCGCAGCAGCAUCCCCUGUGCUCAGGCAGCGAAGCGGCGCUCCGAGGCGGGAGGUGGCACGGGGAGGCCCUAAACACCCGUGCCCCCCGGGCGGGGGCGGCGGGGGGGUGUGCUGGGGAGAGCCCGGCACGGCUCGGUGCGAGCUACCUUUCCAAGAGACGGGGAAUCUGUGUGGGAGGCUCUGGGAGCGUGUCCUGCGAGACGCUGAACUGCAAAAGAGAAUGCGAUAACCGGAGGGUGGUGGCAGAGAACCAGCCCGGCAGCCGUUUGGUGCGGGGCUGCGGGACGCAGCCGUCCCGGGGGGGGGGCCAGGGGACCUUUCCCCGCCGGUGCGGGGUGGGCUCCCAAAGCGCUACCCGCUACCCUUCACCUAGAGAGGGACCACGAGCAGGAGGGGCCGGGGGCUGAACCCCCUUGGGGGGGCUGGGAGGCGCCGGCCGGGAGCCGCUGCCCCGCCGGCACCGCCGGGGUUUGCGGGCAGGGAUCGCUCUGUACCCGCAUCCAUCCCUCUUCGGUGAGCAGCCUGCCCGGAGAAGUUAAAAUCCAAACCUCCGGGGCAAGAGCCAUCGCCCACAGCCGCCCUCUCGGCCCCCGCCGUGCCACCGGGCACCGGCCGCAGCCGCGCCCGUCGCGGGACCGUGUGAGACUGGGGGGCCGGGGCCAGCGCUGCCGGCGCCGCGGGCUCCCCGGAUCCGCAGGGGAUGCUGGCGGCCGCGCAGGCUGGCGGUACUGCCUCGGUGUGUGGCACUGGUGAGCCCACUUUCCGUGUUAACAGGCUCCGGUAGCUUAAAAGAGAUACUGAAAUAUUGGAGAGGAGUGGGAAAAGAGGCAGAGGGAUGCCGUGAGG